rnacentral:misc_RNA from 1 species
AAGUCGUAACAAGGUCUCCGUAGGUGAACCUGCGGAGGGAUCAUUAACACGUUUACACAAACGUAUUCACCAAACGCGGAAACGAGAUCGUCUUCGACGAUCAGUUGAGCUCCCCCUACACAUGUGAGUGAAGAAGUUCUUCUUCCUGUACAUGGGUACGGGCUAUGAUUUCACUAUCAUUGUACACCCCUUUCCAUAGGAGAGCGUGUGGGCGUUGCGCUCGCACCUUUUCACUUGAUCGUGACGUUCGUGCAUGCACCUCGAGUUCAUGUAUGUAGUAUUGUAAUAAGAGCACAACUCUUAGCAACGGAUAUCUUGGUUCUC